AAUUAUUUAGUUUAAAAUAAAACAAGUGUUUUGAAAACAUUAGAUAAGUACAUAGAACUUAAUAAUUA
rnacentral:tRNA from 1 species